GUACUCUUCUGGCGGUGGAAAUGUCACAAUCACGAAAAUGGCUUUUCAUAGGGCGAGGCCUAGCCGUUGCAUUCGGGUUGUGCUGACCACUGCGGUUUCCCCGUAAGUGGAGAACCCAACUGCGUCACUUGUGGUAGUGGGGGGACUGUGUUCGCGCUCUCCCCUG